rnacentral:rRNA from 1 species
CCUACGGGAGGCAGCAGUAAGGAAUAUUGGUCAAUGGGCGGAAGCCUGAACCAGCCAUGCCGCGUGCAGGAAGACGGCCCUACGGGUUGUAAACUGCUUUUGCAGGGGAAUAAACCUCAUUACGUGUAAUGAGCUGAAUGUACUCUGAGAAUAAGAAUCGGCUAACUCCGUGCCAGCAGCCGCGGUAAU